AAAACUUUCAACAACGGAUCUCUUGGCUCUGGCAUCGAUGAAGAACGCAGCGAAAUGCGAUAAGUAAUGUGAAUUGCAGAAUUCAGUGAAUCAUCGAAUCUUUGAACGCACAUUGCGCCCGCCAGUAUUCUGGCGGGCAUGCCUGUUCGAGCGUCAUUACAACCCUCAGGCCCCCGGGCCUGGCGUUGGGGAUCGGCGGAAGCCCCCUGCGGGCACAACGCCGUCCCCCAAAUACAGUGGCGGUCCCGCCGCAGCUUCCAUUGCGUAGUAGCUAACACCUCGCAACUGGAGAGCGGCGCGGCCACGCCGUAAAAUACCCAACUUCUGAAUGUUGACCUCGAAUCAGGUAGGAAUACCCGCUGAACUUAAGCAUAUCAAUAAGCGGAGGAAAAGAAACCAACAGGGAUUGCCCCAGUAACGGCGAGUGAAGCGGCAACAGCUCAAAUUUGAAAUCUGGCUCUCGGGCCCGAGUUGUAAUUUGUAGAGGAUGCUUUUGGUGAGGUGCCUUCCGAGUUCCCUGGAACGGGACGCCAUAGAGGGUGAGAGCCCCGUCUGGUUGGACACCGAUCCUCUGUAAAGCUCCUUCGACGAGUCGAGUAGUUUGGGAAUGCUGCUCUAAAUGGGAGGUAUAUGUCCUCUAAAGCUAAAUACCGGCCAGAGACCGAUAGCGCACAAGUAGAGUGAUCGAAAGAUGAAAAGAACUUUGAAAAGAGAGUUAAAAAGUACGUGAAAUUGUUGAAAGGGAAGCGCUUGUGACCAGACUUGGGCUUGGUUGAUCAUCCGGGGUUCUCCCCGGUGCACUCUUCCGGCUCAGGCCAGCAUCAGUUCGCCCUGGGGGAUAAAGGCUUCGGGAAUGUGGCUCUCUCCGGGGAGUGUUAUAGCCCGCUGCGUAAUACCCUGUGGCGGACUGAGGUUCGCGCAUUCGCAAGGAUGCUGGCGUAAUGGUCAUCAGUGACCCGUCUUGAAACACGGACC
rnacentral:rRNA from 1 species